CAUUAGUGAUGGUGAUGGUGGUGCUUAACCUUGAAAUACAGAGGCAGCAAAACACAUACCUCUAUGGUUUCCAGCAGGGUCUGGAUUUCUCUCUUUGUUUGACAUUUAUACCUGAUGCAGGUAGGUAGAACAAAGGAGAAAAAUGAGCAAUCAGUUUCAGAAUUCUCUAGCAUGUUUUCUAUUUGUUAAACAUUCAUACCUUAAAAAUCACAUUCUUUGUCUUAGCCUUGAGGUGCCAGUUUCAAAAAGAGAAUGUCUAGCAACUCAUCUGGCAUGCAUGUUGGGUAUGUGUCACAAAUACUGAUUAACUAGGUAAGCAAUUGAAAUGUUAAAAAAAUGUUAAAAAAAUGCAGGAUAUUAACAGUCAGCUAUCCUCCUGCUUUAUCAUGGUUUCAGGCUGCCUGAAAUAGACAAGGCCAAGAGCAGCAAGAAGAAAGAAUAAAAGCAUUCCCUAGCUAACGACUGGCAUCUCAUUCUUCAAAGUACCGGUCUGUGACCAGUUAACAGGAGUGGCUGACUGCCCUUAAGUAUUUGAAGCCUGAAGGGGAUAAAAUAGACAACCUGUGAGACACCCUGCCUUAGUGAGGCCUUACAGAUUAAGAUCAAUAAUUUGAUUUGAUUGCAAGAGAAAUGGCCUACUUAUGGGUUACAAGGGUGUAAUUUGUUGUUUGAAGUGGAAUGCUGCCUGUGACAGACUCUAUUUUAUUCAUAGGUUUGGCUACCUUAUGAAGCCAGAUUAAAAUAUCAGUAAUAAGCAAUUUCAGGAGAUUCUUUCUUGGACAUUACUGGUCAUAUGAAAGCCAAUUGAUUAGUCAAUUGUUGUAUAGCUGCAGAUCCUGGGAUCACAGUAUGAUCAGAUUUAGAACCAGAAGAGAUCUCAGAGAUCAUCUGGUACUCCCAGGCAUUUAUCUGGGGCAGAGCUGCUGGGGGUUGGGAGAGGAAGAUAAUAGCUUCUUAUUUUAACUAGUCUUAUUAGCUGGGUGCUAAGUUCAGUUGUCUUUAUGUUGUUGAAAGAUUGCAAGUACUUUAAAUUUCAGUACCCUGAGGCAAAGCCCAGACCACCAAGCCUAGUUUGGGUCUGCCUAGAAGGAGAGCCUGAUGCCCUGUGUAUAGGCUAGAAAAUAGUUUUGCCCAUGUCUUGGACUUUGGAUGCCAGAGAAGAGAAAGAAUGAGUAAAAAGUAAACUGUUAGCUAAUGGGGGCUAAUAGCCCACAAGAGGCAGGGAAAAAGUGGGGAAACAUAAACAUAGUACUUCUAGAGCUUUGCACACCAGGACGAUGCAAACACUAGGCUAUGUCUGCACAAAGAAAGUCUAAGUUUGAGAAAUCAGAUUGUGAAUCUGGUGGAGGGAGAUAGGAUGGUGCAAGUGAGAGAGCCUGCUCUUCGUCAGAGCUGGUAAUUGUCUCCUUCCUUUUCUUCUCUUGAUCUGUGUAGAUAUAAAGGUGGGAAAUGAUCCAUCCUUUCCCACUGUGCCUGAGGACUCCAGGUUAUCCCUGGGCUUACCUUUAACCAAGUGCAAAGAUCAUGUUAACCACAGUAUUUCUGUACUCUGGCAGGGAGUUCUAAUUGCACCUUCAAAAAAUGCAAUUAAUACUUUUCUGACUAAAAAACCCUUUCUGAGACAAAUCUUUCUUUGGUAAUUGCCUUCCUCUCCCCACCCCCUUUUAUGGUUCAAUGCUGUCACUUCAUUUGUACAGGGCACUCUUGCUGAGGAAGUUUUCUCUGUCAACACAGGACUACAACUGUUGUACAAUUUAUAGUACUGAAGAGUUGCCUGGGCCACUGAGAAAUGACUUGCUUGGAGUCACACAACCAGAGGUGGCACAUGAACCCAGGUCCUUCAGACUCUGAGAGUGGGAGGCUUCUUUCAGACCACAGCACAACCCAGUGAGAGUGGGAAUAAACAUCAUUAUGGAUUCAGGUUUUUGAAGCAGCCCUCCCUCAUGUCUACUAGAAAGGGAACUCCUGGCCAGGAAAUUCUUUCCAACAAAUGCAAGUUGGCACCUUCAAGUCUUCAAGAGUUGCCUAGAGAAGUAGUGUCAAGUAGAAAUAGAUCCCUGAU